UUACCGUGAAUAUUUAUUAAUUUUUUUAUUGUAUACAAAUUAACAGCCCGAUGUUUAGAAAUUAUCACAAAUAUAAGGCCUCCAAAAAAAUUUUAUCUACGGGCCUCAAAGAACGUAGUUCCACUACUGUUGCUAGGUACUUAUCUACUUAAUGAAUUUAUUUAUUAAUUCUGAUGUUUAAACUACAAUUUACGAAAGGAC